UUGGAGGUGCAAUCCCUGUGACGU
rnacentral:piRNA from 1 species